UACGUAGGGGGCAAGCGUUGUCCGGAUUUAUUGGGCGUAAAGAGCGUGUAGGCGGCCAGAUAGGUCCGUUGUGAAAACUGGAGGCUUAACCUCCAGCUGUCGAUGGAAACCAUCUGGCUAGAGUCCGGAAGAGGAGAGUGGAAUUCCUGGUGUAGCGGUGAAAUGCGCAGAUAUUAGGAGGAACACCAAUAGCGAAGGCAGCUCGCUGGGACGGUACUGACGCUGAGGCGCGAAAGCGUGGGGAGCGAACAGG
rnacentral:rRNA from 1 species